UUCCAUAAUUUUGCAUAUAAUUUACUUCAUUGUUUUCCGGUCUCCCUAUUAAAUUUUAUGUUUCAAUAUUACCAAUCUAGUGUGAGUUGUCACGAAGAAAUGAAAAUGGUUAUUGUUUAUUUCAAAAUUUUGCUUUUGAUAACAGUUUUACCAUCUUUAUCAGCAAGAAGAUAUAGAGUAAGAACAUCAGUGGGGACGUAUUACUCCGGAUCUAGUUCAAGCUAUAUUAGCAAUACCAAUGUUUGGAUUUACAUAGUUAUAGCAGUUCUGAUCCUCGCUUUGAUAUACUCGUUGGGAAAGUUUUGCUGUAAUAAAAGACGAGACAAACCAGAGAAACCGCAGAAACUUGAUGUUUCCCCUGUUUAUAUCACCGAAUACGGGAAAUCAGUGAAUGCAGACCUGUCAAAGAAGAAAUGUUACCUGUAAAUCACAAAGUACAGGAAAAAUAUUUCCAUCAUUAUGUUACAUUUUGUCGAAGAGUGUCGAAUCAACACUUUCUUUUUAAAGAAGCUGAAAUGUCAUCAUUUAGACACAAUUGUAAAAAAUAGAAAAAUUUGAACUUUAGUUGAAUGUAUAACACGCUUUAAAAAUAAAUUUGUCUCUUGCUCCAAGAGACAGAAAUAGUA